UACGUAGGUGACAAGCGUUGUCCGGAUUUACUGGGCGUAAAGAGCGCGCAGGCGGUCGUUCAAGUCGAGUGUGAAAGCCCCCGGCUCAACCUGGGAACUGCGUCUGAUACUGGAUGGCUUGAAUCCGGGAGAGGGAUGCAGAAUUCCAGGUGUAGCGGUGAAAUGCGUAGAUAUCUGGAGGAAUACCGGUGGCGAAGGCGGCAUCCUGGACCGGCAUUGACGCUGAGGAGCGAAAGCCAGGGGAGCAAACGGG
rnacentral:rRNA from 1 species